GAUGAACGCUGGCGGCGUGCCUAAUACAUGCAAGUCGAGCGAACAGCUCAGGAGCUUGCUCCUUUGACGUUAGCGGCGUACGUGUGAGUAACACGUGGAUAACCUACCUAUAAGACUGGGAUAACUUCGGGAAACCGUAGCCCAUACCGUAUAACAUAUUGAACCGCAUGGUUCCAUAGUGAAAGUCGCCUUUGCUUUCCCUUAUAGUUGGAUCCGCGCCUUAUUAGCUAGUUGGUAAGGUAACGGCUUACCAAGGCAACGAUACGUAGCCGACCUGAGAGGGUGAUAGGCCACACUGGAACUGAGACACGGUCCAGACUCCUACGGGAGGCAGCAGUAGGGAAUCUUCCGCAAUGGGAGAAAGCAUGACGGAGCAACGCCGCGAGAGUGAUGAAGGUAUUGGGAUCGUAAAACUCUGUGAUCAGGGAAGAACAAAUGUGUAAGUAACAGUGCACAUCUUGACGGUACCUGAUCAGAAAGCAACGGCUAACUACGUG
rnacentral:rRNA from 1 species